GGAGGUAUAGCUCUGUGGUAGAGUGUGUGCCUGGCAUGCAUACGGUCUUGGGUUCAAUCCCCAGUACUUCCA
rnacentral:tRNA from 1 species